AACCCUAGGGCCCUCGGGGGGCCAAAAAAUCACGGAAAAACGGAGCUUACCGGCGGCAGCGCUCUCGGGUACGGCGACUCUCCGGCGAAGUUCGUGUUUUGGUGAUUUGGCUUCGGUCAACCUGUAGAGAAAAGAAUGGUGAUCACGGUGAUAUAAAAAUUGCAUCGAACGGAGGCCGGGAAGGGCCUCGUCGGAGGCAAAAACCGAGAGGGGGCGCGGCGGUGCCGCUGGGCUUCGGCCGCGUAUUCCGGCCGUUUGGCCGGGAUUUCGGCUUCGAUUUGGCCAUAGGAGGAAUCAGUGGGGAAAAACGAGUCGGGGGUAUGAAAUUUACCUCGAUCGGCGGUCGGAAAUUUCCCCGGUGCGGCGGCGAGUGGCGGCGGGUGGCGGCGGUCGGCCUCUGGUUCGUCUUCUCCGGCGAGCGGCUGGCGGCUAGGGUUUG
rnacentral:lncRNA from 1 species